GACGAACGCUGGCGGCGUGCCUAAUACAUGCAAGUAGGACGCAGUUGCGAACGGGUGAGUAACGCGUAGGUAACUGCCUAUUGAUGGGGGAUAACUAUUGUAAACGAUAGCUAAUACCGCAUACUAGUAGAUGUACCUGCGUUGUAUUAGUUAGUAGGUUGGGUAAUGGCCUACCUAGGCAACGAUACUUAGCCGACCCGGGAGGGGGUGCGGCCACACCUGGACUGAGACCAGGCCCCGAAUCCUACGGGAGGCAGCAGUAGGGAAACAUCGGCAAUUGGGGGAAACCUGACCGAGCAACGGCGCGUGAAUUGAGAAGGUUUUCGGAUCGGAAAGCUCUGUUGUUAAGGAAGCGGUACUUACCCAGAAAGGGACGGCUAACUACGUGCCAGCCGCCGCGGUAAUUC
rnacentral:rRNA from 1 species